GCCGGGAGCAGCCUUGGAUGCAGUGACCAUGAGAUAGUGGAGUUCAGGAACAUGGAAAAAACAAGGUAAUAAGUAGGACUGGAACCCUGGACUUCAGGAGAGCCAAUUUUGACUUCUUCAGUGACCUUCUUGGAGGUAUUCCAUGGAUUAGAACACUGGAAGGAAGGACAUGAGCUGGACGUCACAACCCAUGGACACCUGGGAAGGAUAUGUACCAUCUAGGAAUCGUUCUUGUGGAAAGGGCAAGACAAGAUGCUCUUCUAAGACAACGCGACUAAUACCACCUGGGAUUUCGGGGAGCUCCUGCAGGGGCCCAUCGUGGCUGCCGUCUGCCCAUUCUGAUGGACUCUGUGAGGAUCCAUAUCAGGCUGUGCUGGAGAAGAAAGCCUCCAGCAACUGCCAUGGCACUGGCAAGGCAGGGGCUGUGCUCUCAAUGUGCCUUCUCCAGAUGCUGGGCAUAUGGUCUUGUCCUGAGAGCUCCAAGAUAAUUUGGCUUAGCUCGCUCAGUGAAGGAUGCAGCUGGAGCAGAGAGUGUGGAGAGAGACUUACUGCACUUCCAGAUAACAGCCUUGCUGAGCUUGAUUGAUGGAUGCUGUUUAAUCUGCCAGACAGGCUGAAACUUAAGAAAUGGAGCAGAAACACGCAGCUUGGGCAAACCAUUUGUGUAUAGCAAGGACAUGCACAGUGUCAUUUUAGGCAGCGUUUGUGCUAGGAAGCCACUGUGCACAGACUUCCUCACCAGCACAGCUGGGCACAGAAGAGCUUUGGUCUGUGUGGCAGAGCAUUGUACGUGCUUUGGCCACCUUUGUCUAAGGAUGAGAUUUCUUUCCUCUUCCAAGCCUUUCCCUUUGCAAUUAUAUUACUGCAGCACAAGGCCAUGUACCUAGUCAUAAAAGCAAAUGUUUUUCAGUCGUGCCCCUGAAGUCUUCAGCAAGACCUUCUCAGAAGAUACGCAGAGGAUGGUUGAGUACAAGAGAAGUGUCCAAUAUUAAUUGCUGAGAUGAACUCAGAAGAUGUGGGCUCUGCUCCCUCAGGCUCUUGCUGACUGGUUGCAUGGUGCUGAGCACCUUCCUGGUCAAACCAGUGCCCUCCACACCUGCCUUGGACAUGCACUGCACUCAGUGUUCUCAGUGGAAAUGAUUGUAACAGAAAUAAUCUCUUCCAGGUAGGGUGAUUUACCCCAUGUAGUAAACUGGCUGCAGCUGGAGCACCUUAUUGCUAUUAAAAUCUUCAUCUUCACUUGGCUGUAGCUGUAGAGGCAAACUACACUAUGAUGUAAACAAGACUGGAGCUUGUACAACCUUUAAGACCAAGUGUGGCUAUUCUACUGCAGCUUGCCACUGCAUUGAGCCUGACAGCCUGAUCUGAAAGAACAGUUUUGGGACUUAGCAUAUAAAGAAAAAAAUUGUAGAGGACACAGUUCAAAUGACA
rnacentral:lncRNA from 1 species